UUUCGCCAUCUUUUGUCUUUCCGUGGAGCUGUCGCCAUGAAGUAAGCAUGACCAGUGGUUCCCAAUCCGCUUGCAUCCUCGGGCAGAACGCCUCUCUGUCGUCCCUGGCAUGGCUGUAGACACCCUCCCUGAUGGACUUUCACUUUUUGUUGCAGGGUCGAGCUGUGCAGUUUUAGCGGGUACAAGAUCUACCCCGGACACGGGAGGCGCUACGCCAGGACCGACGGGAAGGUUUUCCAGUUUCUUAAUGCGAAAUGCGAGUCGGCUUUCCUUUCCAAGAGGAAUCCUCGGCAGAUAAACUGGACUGUCCUCUACAGAAGGAAGCACAAAAAGGGACAGUCGGAAGAAAUUCAAAAGAAAAGAACCCGCCGAGCAGUCAAAUUCCAGAGGGCCAUUACUGGUGCAUCUCUUGCUGAUAUAAUGGCCAAGAGGAAUCAGAAACCUGAAGUUAGAAAGGCUCAACGAGAACAAGCUAUCAGGGCUGCUAAGGAAGCAAAAAAGGCUAAGCAAGCAUCUAAAAAGACUGCAAUGGCUGCUGCUAAGGCACCUACAAAGGCAGCACCUAAGCAAAAGAUUGUGAAGCCUGUGAAAGUUUCAGCUCCCCGAGUUGGUGGAAAACGCUAAACUGGCAGAUUAGAUUUUUAAAUAAAGACUGGAUUAUAACUCCA
rnacentral:sRNA from 1 species